GUGCUUGCUUCAGAAGCACAUAUACUAAAACCAGAACUAUUCAGAGAAGAUCACCAUGGCCCCUGUGCAAGGAUGACGUGCAAAUUCGUGAAGUAUUCCAUAUUUUU